rnacentral:rRNA from 1 species
GAUGAACGCUGGCGGUGUGCCUAAUACAUGCGAGUCGAGCGAACAGACGAGGAGCUUGCUCCUCUGACGUUAGCGGCGGACGGGUGAGUAACACGUGGAUAACCUACCUAUAAGACUGGGAUAACUUCGGGAAACCGGAGCUAAUACCGGAUAAUAUAUUGAACCGCAUGGUUCAAUAGUGAAAGACGGUUUUGCUGUCACUUAUAGAUGGAUCCGCGCCGCAUUAGCUAGUUGGUAAGGUAACGGCUUACCAAGGCAACGAUGCGUAGCCGACCUGAGAGGGUGAUCGGCCACACUGGAACUGAGACACGGUCCAGACUCCUACGGGAGGCAGCAGUAGGGAAUCUUCCGCAAUGGGCGAAAGCUUGACGGAGCAACGCCGCGUGAGUGAUGAAGGUCUUCGGAUCGUAAAACUCUGUUAUUAGGGAAGAACAAAUGUGUAAGUAACUAUGCACGUCUUGACGGUACCUAAUCAGAAAGCCACGGCUAACUACGUG